rnacentral:rRNA from 1 species
UACGGGGGGGGGCAAGCGUUGUUCGGAAUUACUGGGCGUAAAGAGCUCGUAGGCGGCCUGUUGCGUCCGCUGUGAAAUCCCCGGGGGCUCAACCCCCGGGCCUGCAGUGGAUACGGGCUGGCUAGAGGCAGGCAGGGGGAGAACGGAAUUCCUGGUGUAGCGGUGAAAUGCGCAGAUAUCAGGAGGAGCACCGGUGGCGAAGGCGGGGUCUCUGGGGCAACAACUGACGCUGAGGAGCGAAAAGCGUGGGGGAGCGAACAGG